UCCAGACUCCUACGGGAGGCAGCAGUGGGGGAUAUUGCACAAUGGGGGGAACCCUGAUGCAGCGACGCCGCGUGGGUGAAGGAGCGUUUCGGCGCGUAAAGCCCUAUCGGCAGGGAAGAAGGAGGACGGUACCUGAAGAAGAAGCCCCGGCUAACUACGUGCCAGCAGCCGCGGUAAUACGUAGGGGGCAAGCGUUAUCCGGAUUUACUGGGUGUAAAGGGGGCGCAGACGGCGAUGCAAGCCAGGAGUGAAAGCCCGGGGCCCAACCCCGGGACUGCUCUUGGAACUGCGUGGCUGGAGUGCAGGAGGGGCAGGCGGAAUUCCUGGUGUAGCGGUGAAAUGCGUAGAUAUCAGGAGGAACACCGGUGGCGAAGGCGGCCUGCUGGACUGCAACUGACGUUGAGGCCCGAAAGUGUGGGUAUCAAACAGGAUUAGAUACCCCAGUAUCG
rnacentral:rRNA from 1 species